AACCAGUCCUCUAACUAACAAAGCAGACUCGCAGCUUUCUUAUUCGGAAAACAGAAGGGGAAAUGUAAUCGAUAGCGCAUAGGUGCCAUUAAAAGUGAAGCGCUGUGCAACGACGACGUACAGUCCGUGCCUACCGCUGCGUUAAGCCACCCAAAGUUUAUGUUUGUUCUGCAGGGAAAAAAAAUGUUUCGUAGAAAUAAGGCUUGUAGCUCAGUCCCAGAUAAAACAGUUUAUCCCGGACAAAUUCAGGUUAGACCUCAGCGCGACAAACGUGGUUAUGUGUGGAUAUGCACUUUAUAUAUGUGUUUGUGUGUAUGUGUGAGAGAGAGAGUGAGAGAGAGAGAGUAAAUAACGAGAACAAUUAUAAUGGACUGGUAAUAAACAAUUGCAGUUGGGAAUGGCACGAACUCUGUGCAUCGGAUUAACCUCGAAUGACCUUACCACAAUUGUAUUUAUUUAUCCAAUUUCAUAACAGGUUGCUACUGACAAAAAAGUAAAAAAAGAGGGAGAUAAAGGUCGAUGAUCGACUACGUUUAUUUUUUAUUUUUAUUUUUUAGAAAAGCGGUUGUUUAAAAAAUCAUGUCAAUUUGUAAUUAUUUCAUUGCACAACACUGAAGCCAAUGUUUGGGAAUUCUUAAGGAAGAAUGCGGUGUGGAGAAUAUGACUUGACUCUACAAUGGCAAGGGGUAAGAGGAAAGGUAAGAUUGGUGCAUAUUAUUAUGAUUAUGACGAUCAUUAACUAAUAUGUGUCAUUAUGGUGCGCUGGGAUCCCAUUAGGGUGGCUGGGCCCGGUGCAUUUUCCUACUCGGUCUAGCAUGUAAUGAUUCGGUGUAACCGGAUUCUUGAGAAAGGACAGGUUACGUAAACAUUUACUGAUGUGGAGUAACUAUACUAUUUGUACUCUGAUAUGCAGGAAGGAAAGUGUUGAUUAACACAGAAGAAAAAAAAGCGAAAUUAGCUGAUUGCAUGCUCAUAAGUGCAAGCUGUCAUUGAACUGCUUUUAAAAUAGACACAGCUGGGUGUUUGUGUUGAAAAAUUUCUUGUGUUUUUGCUAAUACUGAAAUAAGCAUGAUUUUGUAUACCAAACAUUUUCAGAUCAUUAAAAUUUGUAAUCUGUGCUGGUUUUAAACACAAAGAAAAGAAACAGAUUCAUUUCGCUGUAAAAUUUGCUGAUAUUAUAUUAACUCAAUCAGGUCUGUACAAAUGGUGUAUUGUGCCUUAUCAAAUCUCUUUGAUCCAUUUAAUACACAAAGUGCCAAACGUGUGUAUUGUUUGUUAACAUUGAACGUUUUAUUCAAAUCCCAGAUCUGCAGCAAACUGGAGGAGUUCUCGUUUAAUGUAACACUGUCAUUGCCUGUUGAAAUUUUAAUGCUCUGAGGUGUUUCUCAGGUCACAGCUGAGUUUACUUCGCGUUGUGAUCGGGGACGAAAAAGUAGCAGGGAAGAAAAUAAACGUUUCAUCCUUUUGCUUUUCUGAGCAAAGGUCUAAUACCGAGAGCAACGUGCUUUUAAAACGUUUGGUGAUCUCGAUUUAACUCUCAGUCAUUUGUCACGGCAGCAGUAUAAAUCAUUGUGCACAAACUUAGGAUUUAUAUUAUAUAUUUUUUUUAAUGCCGUGGAUAUACAGUUCUACCAAAAAAGGAAAUGUUGCGUCCAAUAUGCAGUACAUAUCGUUCCAAGCCCUUGAGAUUAAUUCACUGUUUAUAGGACAGAAAAGGAUAUGUAAGAGAGGCCACGUCAAUUAUUAUUUCUGCUGGACUCUAACUUUUGAGUCUGGCCAUUUUUUUUCCUCCCCAGAAAAUUCUCCGUUUAUAAAAUCGGAGAUAUUUACUUUGGAAAAGCGGGAGUCUUGCUCUAAUGCCAAUUCUUCUCUUAGCUCUGACCUGGCCACGACUCCCAUUUACUUCAGUGUUAGCUUUGUAUGUUGGAGCCCUGAAUAAGUGGCUGCUUUGACCCCUCAGCUCCGCUCAGACUCGGAUUCUUGUAAGAAGGUCCGUAACGGCAGGCAGCAUUUUUUAACGUGAAAGUUUUUGUGGGGUGUCAGGAGAAAAAGCUUGUGCGGAGACGGGGAGCGCACGGCCCCAGCCAUGUGAACCACGGCGAGGUGUGAAGCCGAGCCCCAGCUCUCUGCAGAGUGUGGGUGCUCCCUCACCUGCGCGUUCGCCCUCGGCCGUGGACCUGCUGCACUGAACGCCAGGGAUGGGCUGGGGAUGUCCGAACCCGGGACAGGGGUGAAGACCUGAGCUGAAACGUCCUGGCUGAAGUGCCAUUCGCCUGAGUGCCAGCAGUCUCCACAAGGUUCCUGGAUAUAGUUCACACUGAUAGUGUUUCAACCGCGCACUUUUCCCUUCCUUACAUUUUUUAGGAAUCAGAGGCCGAAGGAAAAGCGGCCCGUCUCCACUGUAAGCCCAAUGGAUACAGAUAGGGUGCAUCCCCCCAGCUCCAGCCUUCAAUCCCUCUUCACACGGGUAUAGCGGCUCUGUACUCCCAGGCUUUUUCAAGGGGUUAAGCUGCUAAAAUGUCCUGACAGCUUAAGGAAUGAAUGAGGGUUUUUUCAGCCAUGAAGAAAGGGUAUUUAGUAACCACGCUUCGAUGGCAUCAUGCUUCCAUGAAACGAGUCAGGACACUUAGGUUUAACAAUCAGUAACGUCGCAUUCGGUACAGUAAAUGCCUGGAUGUACACAUAUAUAAUUCUAUCCCCCCUUGACUCUGAGCUUGCCUUAUUUAUCCCAGGUUACCUGGGCAAUUAAGGUAAGGACUGCUCAGCAGACACCGAUACCCCGCUGCUCAGGCAUGGCGAAUGGGGACGGAGCAGUGCACUAACAAAGAGAGAGAGGUGGUCAAACAUUUUGAAGAGGGGUGAAUGGGACUGGAGGUGGAUGGAUAGAUGAAUGGAGGCAAAGAGGGAGAGGAAGAAGUAUUCAGUGGUCCACCCUUAUAUCUGCAUUUGAAAAUUUAAGGUUAGGUGUCUGUCUCUAGCCAACUUUCAGUUAAUCCGUAACAGCUGGUAGUGGUGCUAACGUCUAGUGAUUAGAAGUUACUCUAUUUAGCAUACUGUAUCCUUCUUCCAUGGGUUUUGGUUACAGGUUAUACGAUUAGGAUUGCGAGAACAGUAGUGAACUAAACUUCCCAGUAAGAGGUCUUCACACCAGGGAAGUGUUACUUUGCUGCAGCAGCCCUGCCUCGUCAGUCAUUAGGAAGCUGCAGGUUGUCAGAGGCUUCUCUUGCGCGCACACACGCGCAGACACACACACGCACACACACAAAACCACAGCACUAAAACUAAAUUAAGAAGCCGAUGAUUAAGACAAGCGUCUACGAGGCCUGUCAUUUCAGCAUCCUUCCAUCAUAACAUUGUGGCACCGAGAAAUUUGCUUGAAAACCCUGGAAAAAAUGUCUAUGGGAGAGCCUCGUAUUUGAGAUAGCAUAAAUGUUAACAUCAAAUGUAGACUGGGAACUGCCUCGGAUGCAAGAUAGUAUUCCAGAGAGGACACGAGAGCUGCAGAGACCUUUGGGCUGUCCACACACUCCUGAAACUCGGGCACAUACCAGCUCAGGAGGGAUGGUUUCCAUUGGGAAGUAACCUUUGCUCUUCAGUAGUCUUAAGCACACAGCAAUAAAAAUUUGCCCAGCAGGAUAAAACUAGUCU